rnacentral:rRNA from 1 species
AUUGAACGCUGGCGGCAUGCCUUACACAUGCAAGUCGAACGGUAACAGGGAGCUUGCUCCGCUGACGAGUGGCGAACGGGUGAGUAAUGCAUCGGAACGUACCCAGUAGUUGGGGAUAACGCAGCGAAAGCUGUGCUAAUACCGCAUACGCACUGAGGUGGAAAGCAGGGGACCUUCGGGCCUUGUGCUAUUGGAGCGGCCGAUGACAGAUUAGCUAGUUGGUGGGGUAAAAGCUCACCAAGGCGACGAUCUGUAGCUGGUCUGAGAGGAUGAUCAGCCACACUGGGACUGAGACACGGCCCAGACUCCUACGGGAGGCAGCAGUGGGGAAUUUUGGACAAUGGGGGCAACCCUGAUCCAGCCAUGCCGCGUGAGUGAAGAAGGCCUUCGGGUUGUAAAGCUCUUUCGGCCGGGAAGAAAUCGCCAUCUCUAACAUAGGUGGUGGAUGACGGUACCGGAAUAAGAAGCACCGGCUAACUACGUGCCAGCAGCCGCGGUAA